UAGAGCCCGAGGCAGCCCUGAGCCAGUGGGAGUGUGAGAGCCCUGCUCCUCCUGGUGAAGGCACAACUUCUGCUGCAGAGCUCCCCUGCAGGGUCAGGCUACUGCUGGGACAUUGCAAGAAUCACUCAUCAGCCAAAGGAUGAAGAGUCCUUUUUAUGGUUCAAGCUAGAAGCCAAGCCAGUCUCCUCACCUGAAAAAUGGGAAGAGCAAAAUAUCCUACCCUAGAGGGUUGCUGUGAGAGCCGAAAGCGUCUAUCCAUGCGAAGCACGUGGGACAGAGCCUGGCACAAAGAAAACGCUUCCCAGCAAUGGAAAGCCUUGAUGGAGCCCGGUGUAAACUAUGCAGGGUGCCAGAGCCCCCACUGACAGCGCUGGUGUCCACAUGUGGUCACAGGGAUACAGCGGCAGCAUCCCAAAGCCCGAGCCUGGUCCAUCACCCUCAAAACUGCCUCUGGUUUGUCCAAGUCUACCAGGAUUCAAGUUCAUUUCAGAAAAGCAGUGGCCAGAAACCAAGGCCUGGAGGGGGCUGGGGAGGUGUCAGGGAAGGGAUCAGAGGCCAAGCUCU
rnacentral:lncRNA from 1 species